CUGGAAGCGAUGCGGGAGCGAUAUGGAGCGGAGAGCGGUGCGGGAGCGCUGCGGGGGGAAGGUGACUUGGCCGCAUUUCCAGCAUUAAAAUUUAAAGCGAGUUGCAGCAUCCUCCUACGCCGUAGGUAGGGCCGGGGGGGCCGGGGGCUGCGGGAGGAGGAGUUUGCGUGGCCGCCUCUUCCUCAGGGAUGCUCUGGGAAAGCUCCAGCACAAAGGAGCGGCGCGGCGGGCAGAAGCGAGCGGAGCCGGCGCCCCCCAGCCCCAACCCGGCCCCCGGGAGCAGAAUCCUCACCAAGAAUAGGGCUCCUGCCAGUCCCCUCGCGGCCUCCACAGCGCAGAGCCACACAGGAUGGGGGGACAUUGCACGGCACUUGCAUAGCUGGUGACCACAGGUAGGAUCCCCGGGGGGGGACACAGGCGGUACCAGCCCCAUGCUCUCCCACCCCUAGCAAGCUGGGAGGGCUCUGGGCAGCCAGGAGCCUUCCUCCCCAGGCUCCAGUGGUGUCCAGGGGGUCACACCAUCUCCAGGGCCACCUGCAUGAGAGAAUGCUCACCAGUGGGGAGGGGGUGGUUACCACACUGCCCAGGGUCUCACAGCAUCUCUGCUCCCCAGUGCCACCACCCCAGAGGCACAGCCUCAGCUCCUGCCUGGCCAGACCGGCUGUGCCUGGAGAGGAGCCAGGCUUGGGGAGCCGACAUCGUCACCUGCACACGAUGCCAGAGCCGGGCCGGCCCCAGCAGAGCAGCCUGGUGCUCAGUGCCAUGGGCCAGAGCCACGACCCUGGCCACUGCGGGGGACACAGCCGAGGACACGGCGCUGGGGACACCUGAGGACAUGGGUCUGCACGUGCUCGCGGUUUUCCUCCAAGGUGCUGGGGUCCCCUUCCCUCCUGCUGCUCCACCCCAGCCAUGGGCAGGAUGAGACCCAUCCGCUUCCCUGAACGCAGUGUAGGGAGAGGGAGAAGGGGAAGGCAACAGGGAUGGAGCUGUGCCAGCUCCUCAAUGAGACACAAUGGCCGGAGCACAAAGGGACCCUGGUUGUCCCCAUUGAUCCUGCCCAUCCCUCUGGCUGUUGGUGAAGUCCUGGUGCUUUCUGCCCUGGAACUGCCUUGUACUGUUGGUGCCCUGUUCCAGCAGGAUCCUGUCUCCCCUGCCCUGUGGAGCAGCCUGGAGUGUGUGGAGGGACAUGGGCAGUGAAUCCUCCUCCCAUGACCUCUGUGGGGGUGGCAGUGGCCCAGUAAGUGGUUGGGCUGUGGCCACACCGAGCAGUCACUCCAGCCCCUGUCUCUGCACAGGAGGGAGAGCUCGGAAUGAGGUGGGCUGGGGGCUGAGGACAGACACAUCUUGUGGCAGGUGUUAGAGCCUUGAAGUCCAAGCUGGAAAAGCAUCCUCUUGGGGACCAGCAGGAGUUAGUGCUGCAGGAGGAGGUAACCCAGAGGGACAUGGGGCAGAGGAUGCCCUGGGUGCCCCACUACAGCCCUGUUUCUCAGGGCACAGUGCUCUUGCUGCCCCUCAGAGCACUGCUUAGCUCCAUGGAGAGGCAGCUUCUGACAGGGAAGGGGUAAGCUAUGGGCCACUUUUCCUCUGCUCCAUGGCAUGGUUUUCCCUGCUGAAUCUCUUCCUCCCUUCACAGGCAGUGAGAGCUUGGUGGAGACCCAGAGCAGCUCUCGUGGUCUCUGCAGAAGCCCUGCUCUUGCAGAGCUGCCCGUAGCCUUGCCCCAGGCAUGGUCAGUGAUGCUUUCACCCCUUCCCUUUCUGCUUCCUCCGGCUCCUUUAGUGCCCUGACCUGAGUAACUGCCUUGCACUGCUGGGACUGUCUCCUCCAUGCAUCCAGUCUCCCACCCUCACCAGUACCAGGAGUGGGAAGCACACCCUGUGUGGGGACACACUGCUCAGGGCAUUUGGUGCCUCACUGGCCUGAGUGAGAGGGGCAGAUCCUUGCAAAGCAUUUAACUCAGAAACAGGUUACAUUAUGCAGGUUAAGCCCUCCGAUAACACCUUCCCAAAUCUCAAUGUGGUAACAACCCCCCAAAACGCCUCCUGCUCUUGUGAGCCAGAGCCCUGCUGCUCACUGGGCCCGGCUCUGCAUGCUGCCGCUGCGCUCCGACAUUAACCUACUAACCCGCUGGGACCCUGUACCCUCAUCAGGGGCUGGCACUGCCCCUGGCACAUGGACUAACCCACUAACUGGCCCCAGUGCAUGCCCUACUAACCCACAGCCAGCCCUGCCUCGCACCCACUAACUGUGGCAGCAGUGCUGCCUUUAAAGGGGAACGGAAAAGCUGGGAGAGGAGGUUUGGAAGCGCCAGGUGUCAGUGCCAGGCUGUACAGGCAGGGACGGGCAAGGGCAGCCCCAGCUGUGGGCAGGAGAAGGGAUUGGCAGCCCCUGCCCAGCACUGGGCCGCGUCCAUCAAGCUCUGCCUAUACAGGC